CCUACGGGUUGCAGCAGUGGGGAAUAUUGCACAAUGGGCGCAAGCCUGAUGCAGCCAUGCCGCGUGUAUGAAGAAGGCCUUCGGGUUGUAAAGUACUUUCAGCGGGGAGGAAGGUGUUGUGGUUAAUAACCACAGCAAUUGACGUCACCCGCAGAAGAAGCACCGGCUAACUCCGUGCCAGCAGCCGCGGUAAUACGGAGGGUGCAAGCGUUAAUCGGAAUUACUGGGCGUAAAGCGCACGCGGGCGGUCUGUCAAGUCGGAUGUGAAAUCCCCGGGCUCAACCUGGGAACUGCAUCUGAUACUGGCAAGCUUGAGUCUCGUAGAGGGGGGUAGAAUUCCAGGUGUAGCGGUGAAAUGCGUAGAGAUCUGGAGGAAUACCGGUGGCGAAGGCGGCCCCCUGGACGAAGACUGACGCUCAGGUGCGAAAGCGUGGGGAGCAAACAGGAUUAGAUACCCCCGUAGUC
rnacentral:rRNA from 1 species